rnacentral:tRNA from 1 species
AGUUCCAUAGUGUAGCGGUUAGCACAUCUGCUUUAUACGCAGAAGGUCCUGGGUUCGUGCCCCAGUGGAGCCG